CUUUCUCAGUGACGAUCACAGAGCUGAAAGCAGGGGAUGCUGGGACAUACUGGUGUGGUUCAGACUCACAGUGGAGUGCUGGUAAUUACACCAAGAUUCAGCUGUCACUAGACUUUCAGCAGACCAGCACUGUGAUGUCUACUAUCAAUGUGGUUCCUACCUUCACUGUGGUGGAACCUGUCAGAUCACAAGCAACACCUAUCCCUGGAAAACAGAUC